UGCGUAGGCGGCUGAUUAAGUCGGAUGUGAAAUCCCUGAGCUUAACUUAGGAAUUGCAUUCGAUACUGGUCAGCUAGAGUAUGGGAGAGGAUGGUAGAAUUCCAGGUGUAGCGGUGAAAUGCGUAGAGAUCCGGAGGAAUACCGAUGGCGAAGGCAGCCAUCUGGCCUAAUCUGACGCUGAGGUACGAAAGCAGUAGGGAGCAAACA
rnacentral:rRNA from 1 species